ensembl:lncRNA LINC02018 long intergenic non-protein coding RNA 2018
GCCCCGAAGUGGAGCAUAGUGUGUCCGGAACUGGUGGGUUCUUGGUCUCACUGACUUCAAGAAUGAAGCCGUGGACCCUCACGAGACAGGGUUUCACCAUGUUGGCCAGGCUUGUCUUGAACUCCUGACGUCGUGAUCUGCCUGCUUUGGCCUCCCAAAGUCCUGGGAUUACAGGCAUGAGCCACCGUACCCAGCCACUCUUGAUUAACUUAAUGGAAAUAUUUACAGAGAUUCUUUCUCUUCUGGGUUCUAGCGUCUUAUCUGUAACCUCUGCAGGUGUAUCCAGCAGCUCAAGAGAGACAUCGACCAGCGAGAAGGGGCCAUGAUGAUGGUGGUGGUUUUGUGAAAACGAAAAGGGGGAUAUGUAGGGAAAAGAAAGAGAGAUCAGACUGUUACUGUGUCUACACAGAAAGGGAAGACAUAAGAGACUCCAUUUUGAAAAAGACCUGUACUUUAAACAAUUGCUUUGCUGAGAUGUUGUUAAUCUGUAGCUUUGCCCCGGCCACCUUGCCCCCAACCACUUUGACCCAACCUGGAGCUCACAAAAACAUGUGUUGUAUGAAAUCAAGGUUUAAGGGAUGUAGGGCUGUGCAGGAUGUGCCUUGUUAACAAAAUGUUUGCAAGCAGUAUACUUGGUAAAAGUCAUCGCCAUUCUCUAGUCUCAAUAAACCAGG